rnacentral:rRNA from 1 species
GAAUUGAAGAGUUUGAUCAUGGCUCAGAUUGAACGCUGGCGGCAGGCUUAACACAUGCAAGUCGAACGGUAGCAGGAAGAAAGCUUGCUUUCUUUGCUGACGAGUGGCGGACGGGUGAGUAAUGCUUGGGAAUCUGGCUUAUGGAGGGGGAUAACUGUGGGAAACUGCAGCUAAUACCGCGUAUUCUCUGAGGAGGAAAGGGUGGGACCUUAGGGCCACCUGCCAUAAGAUGAGCCCAAGUGGGAUUAGGUAGUUGGUGGGGUAAAGGCCUACCAAGCCUGCGAUCUCUAGCUGGUCUGAGAGGAUGACCAGCCACACUGGAACUGAGACACGGUCCAGACUCCUACGGGAGGCAGCAGUGGGGAAUAUUGCGCAAUGGGGGGAACCCUGACGCAGCCAUGCCGCGUGAAUGAAGAAGGCCUUCGGGUUGUAAAGUUCUUUCGGUAAUGAGGAAGGGAUGUUGUUAAAUAGAUAGCAUCAUUGACGUUAAUUACAGAAGAAGCACCGGCUAACUCCGUGCCAGCAGCCGCGGUAAUACGGAGGGUGCGAGCGUUAAUCGGAAUAACUGGGCGUAAAGGGCACGCAGGCGGACUUUUAAGUGAGAUGUGAAAUCCCCGAGCUUAACUUGGGAACUGCAUUUCAGACUGGGAGUCUAGAGUACUUUAGGGAGGGGUAGAAUUCCACGUGUAGCGGUGAAAUGCGUAGAGAUGUGGAGGAAUACCGAAGGCGAAGGCAGCCCCUUGGGAAUGUACUGACGCUCAUGUGCGAAAGCGUGGGGAGCAAACAGG